rnacentral:rRNA from 1 species
AUUGAACGCUAGCGGGAUGCCUUACACAUGCAAGUCGAACGGAGGGGCGAACGGGUGAGUAAUGUAACGGAACGUGCCCAGUAGCGGGGGAUAACUACGCGAAAGCGUAGCUAAUACCGCCUAAUAUUGGCGAGGCCGAUAUGGGAUUAGCUAGUUGGUGGGGUAACGGCUCACCAAGGCGACGAUCCGUAGCUGGUUUGAGAGGACGACCAGCCACCUUGGGACUGAGACACGGCCCAGACUCCUACGGUAGGCAGCAGUGGGGAAUUUUGGACAAUGGGGGAAACCCUGAUCCAGCCAGCCCGCGUGUGCGAUGAAGGCCUUCGGGUUGUAAAGCACUUUUGGCAGGAAAGCGGUACCUGCAGAAUAAGCACCGGCUAACUACGUGCCAGCAGCCGCGGUAAUAC